CAGCAGGCAUAAUAUCGACGUCACCUACACAGACAACUUUGAUUACAAUCCCGACCAACACGAUAGAAACAGUAACGGCUUCCAGGCAGAGAGACAGCGGCAUAUCAACGAGUUUGAUGAUCUAGUAGACGAUUGGGUGGACAAUGUCCCAGAUGUGGACAAAGUUGCCACGUCAUUCAACAACUUCCGAAGCGGGAGCCUCAUUGCCAAUAGUGACGUCAUCCUGGCGGGAAAGCCGCUGUCUAGUGCGCAGGUGCAGGAGGGUCUAAACAGCCGAAUCACCUCUGAUCCGAAUUCAAACUUUAAACAAGUCACAGCGAAACCUUACGAUUACUGCGGCGACCCCAACACACAGGACGCCUGCUACAGUCGGGACUACUGCACCAACACGGACACGGGCGGCUUCACCUGUCAGUGCCCCCCGACUCAUAUAGACGACUCUCCCGAUGGCCUACCCGGGCGCAAAU